UACGUAGGGGGCAAGCGUUAUCCGGAUUCACUGGGCGUAAAGGGAGCGUAGACGGCAUGGCAAGUCUGAUGUGAAAGCUCGGGGCUCAACCCCGGAACUGCAUUGGAAACUGUCAAGCUAGAGUGCAGGAGAGGUAAGUGGAAUUCCUAGUGUAGCGGUGAAAUGCGUAGAUAUUAGGAGGAACACCGGCGGCGAAGGCGGCUUACUGGACUGUAACUGACGUUGAGGCUCGAAAGCGUGGGGAG
rnacentral:rRNA from 1 species